AAAUGAAGGAGCUACCUGACCCUCCUCCACUACCACAAUUUGAGCCACCCCGGUACAAUCCUGUUCCUCCACAGUACCAUCUGGCACCACCACAGUAUAGUUCAGUGCCCCAAUCGCAUCACUUGACACCACCACAGUAUAAUCUGGUGCCCUCACUGUAUUAUCUAGUACCAAUAUAGGGCCAUCCGGUCCCUCCCCAAUACAAUCCAAUCCCUCUUUCACGGGACCCAGUUCUACCCAUGAUGGACCU
rnacentral:lncRNA from 1 species